rnacentral:ribozyme from 1 species
GCUGCUCGAAACAUCGCACACCUCUUCGUGGUGAGCAGUAGGCAACGGUCUUAUGGCUGGCUAAGAAUGCGAAG